rnacentral:lncRNA from 1 species
CAGAAGAAGUUGUUCCAGUUCCCUGCUAAAAAGAAUGUGGAUGCCAUUCUUGAGGAGUAUGCCAAUUGCAAGAAAUCACAGGGAAAUAUUUAUAUUAAGGAUUAUGCAGUUAAUGAAGUUGUAGGAGGGAUAAAAGAGUGUUUCAAUGUGAUGCUGGGCACCCAGCUACUCUAGAAGUUUGAAAGGCAUCAGUAUGCUGAGAUUAUGCUGGUUUAUCCUGAUGCGCCAAAGUGGAAGAUCUGUGGGGUACCACACCUACUGAGAGUAUUCGUGAGAACUGAGGCAAUGUUGACCUAUACGCCCCUUGAAGAGAAAAUCCUGGCAUUAUUGCUGGGCUGGCUA